rnacentral:rRNA from 1 species
AUGUGCUUGAGCAGGCAUUUGGACCUAGGAUGGCGGGUGCAACAUCUCGGGGAGAACCAAGUCGUCGUAAUGGCAUAUCUAGUCAGAACAGUUCAGUUGGUGCACGACGAUGUGGUGGCUCGACAAGUGUGGGCAACAGCAGUAGGGUCCCCCUUGAAGUGGAGCCUGAUGGCUACAAUUCUGGGGUUGAUGAAGAGAAGCUAUAUUCUGAUGUUAUUCGGAAUUUACGAUGGGCACCUCGGACUGAAAACCAAGAUGAGGCUCACAAUGCAGUCCGUGUGGAUGAUGAUGCGAUGGGUGAGGACGAAGACCUUGCAGUUGUUGAAUGGGACCCUUUGA